UCUUAACUGCCGUUUAAUUUCCUUAGCUUGCACUGUAGCUGAAGGACUGUAAUGUUGAGGUUAUCUUUAAAUGCUCGAUCGUCGCAUCGCAGGCUUCGUGCGGGGCGGCCGGGUGUCGGCGAGGAACCCGCUGAUGACGAGGAACCUGGAGAGGAACGGCAGGAUCACCUGCAUGACGUGAGUUCUUGCUGGCUUGGCUUAGCUUUGUCGCCCAAGAGUAGCGGCGACGAGCGUUGCUGUCUUGCUGAUGUGGCCUCUCUGCUGUGAAAUGAAAUCGUUGCUGACUCAUGCUGCUUGUCAUCAGGUUCCCCCGGGACUGGCUGCGGAGGGACCUGAGCGUGAUCGGCUUCGGGCUCAUCGGGUGGAUCGGUCCCUCCAGCGUCCCGGUGAUCAACGGCAACAGCCUCACGGGGCUCUUCUUCUCCAGCAUCGGCCAGGAGCUCGCCCACUUCCCCACGCCCCCGCCCGUCACCUCCCAGUUCUGGUGAGACUCGCACCACUCGCACUCACGCUCUGCUUGGCCAAUGGCCACUACUGUCCUGCACGCCUGUUCUUGCAGUGGUAGCGGUAGCACUUGUAACUGACAGACGAACACGAACUCGUUGCAGGCUGUGGCUGGUGACGUGGCAC
rnacentral:lncRNA from 1 species